rnacentral:tRNA from 1 species
GGCCUGGUGGCUCAGUGGUUAAGCGUUUGGCUGCUAACUAAAAAGUUGGCAGUUCGAAUCCACCAGCCA